AACCAUGCCAAGUAGAAGAGUCAUGACUGGGGCAAGAUGUUCUUUUCCUUCUGCUAAAGAAACUUUUAAGAACAUGGAACUACCUAAUGGGGCAUUGUUUCUGUAACUAUGGUAACGGGGCUCUGUUUCUGUAACUGGGGUGAUUGGGCUAACUGUGACUGGUUAGGCUUCCCUCCGCUUGGCUGUACUGUCCCGCUCCUGUAACUUAACCUCUCUUUUGCGGUUUUCAGGCUUAUAAGGAGCGCCCUUGUAAUUGUUCGGGGCUGAUCCAGGGGAACAGCUUUAUGUUCUGGUCAGCCGCCACCGGUGUGCUUCAAUAAAGGCUUGAUUAGAUUAUACGUGAGUGGUCUGGAAGUCAGUUUAUGAAACCCUGGGAGGAAGCUUUAACUAUAACAUCUGGGGGCUCGGGGAUCCGUUUCUUCCCUACCCUCACCCCAAAUUUGCCUCCAGUGACGGGCCUUUGGACCUCCGCCAGGAGUAGAGGGGAGCUCCUGAGAGACAUUCCUCAGCCUCACUCUGAGGACGACUCCAGUCUGUCCUAGGAGGCUCUGAAAAGCCUCCUGCCAGCCUGUCAGUUCUGAUCUAAACCAUUUCCUCACAUGUGCUUGACAAGUGCUCUACCAUUGAGCUGCAACCCCAGCCCUGAAAGUCUUGCAUAAAGAAGAAAAAACAUUGGCAUCUUUGGAUUCUGCACAUUUCCAGGAGAGAACCUCGGAGAAAAGAUGUGUACUGUCAAUUUUAAAAACUAUGCCACAUCUGGAUGUAUCAUCCCUAAGCCAAAUGUGCCUUCCUUAUUGGAGCAAGGAAAGGAGCCUUAAAUGGUGGUGAGAAAGCCGUGUUGUUCUAUGUGAAGGAAUGAUAUGGCAGUUCUUGCAUACUUUCUUGCCUUUCCAGUUGCUGGGAUUACAGGUGUGCACCACCCUGCCUAUCUUCAAGUCAAUAGUUAUUGGUAUCCCCAUUCUACGGUUAUAAAAGAGGCCAGGUUCCUGAAGGUUUCCCACAUUACAUCUCUGUAGAGCUUCUUUUGGAAAGGAUCCAGCAAAGCCCACUCCUCUACAGAAAAGCUCAGAGCGACAUCCUCAAAGUGCUCUGUCAGAAAAUUAGGAUCCAGGAGAUACUGAAUGCCCUGUCAGGCAAUUUGGGAAUACUGGUUGGAAAAAAAAAAGAGGGACAUCUAGGGAAGGCAUGGGACUGUCUGACAACCAUCAUUUACCACCUUGGAAUGAAUCAGGUAAUUAGUUUAAGGACAUGUGAUAAAAAUAUUCAUAUGCUUUGAAAUAAAUGAUUACAUUUUGGAAACAAUUUGAGUCAAAUGGGUUAUGACUUCAAAUUCCAAGAGUUGACCAGUCCUCCUCUGGAUUAUUCUCUUGGUAAAGCAGCCAUGAGAACAGAGCUAGAGGAAAAGAAUGGAGAAAUAAGAAAGGCCAUUUUCUUCCUUGCAGGAAGGUUAGAGGAAGUCUGGGAAAAUCUUGGCCCUAUUCCAACUAGAGAGAUUUUACUUAAGCACUAUGGAGUUUCAGUCUAAUUAAAAUUGUCAAAAUCAUUACAUGAAUCUAGGUAUGAGAUAACAUCAUUUUAAUUUUUUGCAAGUGUUCUCUACAAUUAUACAAACCCAAGAUCAUCUCAAGGGCAAUGGAAUUUUCCAAUUGGGAGUGCACUGUACCUGCCCACAGCAGUCCUACAUACUUCCAUGACAGUAACUUUUAUUUCCUCCAUGUCCAACGAAGUUUAUUGCACCUACCAACUGAUUUUCAUCCAAAGCAUCCAAGAGGGGCCAUAAAUCUAAAGACUCAUCAAAGGAAAGCAGAUGGGAUAUGAGAGACGUAUGAUAUACUUUAAAGGAGUAACUAAUUCUGUUUCUGCCAGUCCUCCUGGAAAGAGUGUGGAAAAAAACAAGGAGAACGUUUUAGAUGCCACAGUCAUACUAUAAAGAAAAUCAAGAAAUAUUCAUUGCCAUGAGGAGAAGGCCAGACCCUGAAUGGAAGUUUCUGUGAGCAAAACUGAUAUAAAAAAGAGGUACUAAAAGGAGACAUAUAGAAAUAACGGCAAUUCAGCUAGUAAAACAGCUGGCUACUAUAUUUUUAACAGCUUUAUUGGGUUACAAUUCCAUACUACAUAAUUAGCCAAUUUAGAGUGAACAAUUCAAUGGUUCUUAGUGUAUUUUUAUAUAUGUGCAACCAUCUUAAGUCAAUUUCAGAAUAUUGUCAUCAAUGCAAAAAGAAAACCUAUACCUUUUUUAGCUAUUAUUCCUCCUGUUACCCACCUAAACUUAAAUAAUGAAUUAUCUAGCUUUUUUUCUCUAUUGAUAACCACCCCAUAGCUUUUAACACAAAUGGAAUCAAUACAUGGACUCAUGAGUGGUUUCUUUCUUUUCUUUUCUUUUUUAGAGAGAGAGAGAGAGAAUUUUUUAAUAUUUAUUUUUUAGUUUUCAGCGGACACAACAUCUUUUUUUUUUGUAUGUGGUGCUGAGGAUCAAACCCGGGCUGCAUGCAUGCCAGGCGAGCAUGCUACUGCUUGAGCCACAUCCCCAGCCCCAUGAGUGGUUUCUUUGAUUUAUCAUGUUUUCAAGGUUCAUCCAAGUUGUAGCACAUCUAAAUAUAACUUUCUACUAAUAAUAUUCCUGCACAGAUAGACCAUAUUGUUUACCCAUUGCUCCAGUAAUGGACAUUUGAGCCAUUUCUAACCUUUGACUAUUAUGAAAAAUGUGGCUAUGCGCUUUCAUAGACAAAUCACUGUGUACCUAUUUUGGAAUUUUCACAAUGUAAAUUAAGUUCUUUUGUUAAAUUUAUUCUAAAGUACUUUUUUGGAGUAUAUUACUGGGUCAAUUUCAUUUGUGGAUUGUUUGCUGCACAUGUACAAAGACACAAUUAAUCCUAUAUCCUCAAGCUUAGCUGAAACUCAGUUCUAUUUAUUUUAAAUAAUAUUUUUAUACCUUUAUUUUAUUUAUUUUUAUGUGAUGCUGAGGAUUGAACCCAGAACCUUGCAUGUGCUAGGCAAGCACUCUACCUCUGAGCCACAACCCCAGCCCCUAUUUUUUUUCUCUUGUAUAUGUGUCUUGAUUUUUUAGGAUUUUCUAUGUAAUGUCAUCUGGAAAUGGAGAUGAUUUUUAUGUGUAUUCCAACCUUGAUUCCUUUCUUUCUUUUUCUUGUCUACAUGCUCUGGCUGAAACCUCCAUAAUGUUGAAUAGAAGUAGCAAAAGUGGAUAUCCUUGCCUUGUCUCCCUGAUCUUAGGGGGAAAACACUAGGCUUGCAGCAUUAUGAUGUCAAGCAUAUACCUAGAUGUUUUGUGUCAUGUUCAGGAAAUUCCCUUUUAUUCCUAGUUUAUAGAAUGUUUUUAUUAUGAAAGGGUAUUGGCUUUUGUUAAAUGCAUUUUUUCUGUCUAUUGAGUUUGUGUGAUUUUAUUAUUAUUAUUAUAUUAAUAAGAUGCAUUACAUUAAUUGAUUUGAGGUUAAACCAACCUUCCAUUCCUGGGAUAUAUCUGACAAUGUCAUGUUGUAUAAUUCAUUUUGUUACUGGAUUUGGUUUGCUAGUACAUUUAAAGACUUCUGCACCCUUAUUCUUAA